rnacentral:rRNA from 1 species
GCAUAUCAAUAAGCGGAGGAAAAGAAAAUAACCAUGAUUGCCCUAGUAACGGCGAGUGAAGAGGCAAAAGCUCAAGUUUGGAAGCUCAAUGGUUUAACCAUUGCGCAUUGUAAACUGAAAACAGGAUCAAUCAGGUACACCGGGUGAUAAGUUCCUUGGAAUAGGACAUCAUGGAGGGUGAGAAUCCCGUCUUUGACCCGAGUCUAGUAUCUUUUGUAUUGGCCUGUUCAAGAGUCAGGUUGUUUGGGAAUGCAGCCUAAAGCUGGAGGUAAAUCCCUCCUGAAGCUAAAUAAUGGCGAGAGACCGAUAGCGAACAAGUACCGUGAGGGAAAGAUGAAAAGAACUCUGAAGAGAGAGUUAAACAGUACGUGAAAUUGCUUAAAGGGAAGCAUAUAAAGCUAGGAUGCGAUUGUUUUCUUCAGGUUGAGCUUUGGCUUGACUGUUCAGAAGGAUAAUCCAAGACAACAAGAAUUGGAGGAGGAGAAUAAGCCAUUGGGGAAGGUAAUCCUUCGGGAUGUUUAUAGACCUGAUGGUUCGCGCUCUUCUUUCGAUUGAGGUACGCUUUUUUUAAAGGUUGUUGUCUGAAUGGCUUUAUAUGGCCCGUCUUGAAACACGGA